rnacentral:rRNA from 1 species
UACGUAGGGUGCGAGCGUUGUCCGGAAUUAUUGGGCGUAAAGGGCUCGUAGGCGGUUUGUCGCGUCGGGAGUGAAAACCCAGGGCUUAACCCUGGGCUGGCUUCCGAUGCGGGCAGACUAGAGGUAUGCAGGGGAGAACGGAAUUCCUGAUGUAGCGGUGAAAUGCGCAGAUAUCAGGAGGAACACCGGUGGCGAAGGCGGUUCUCUGGGCAUUACCUGACGCUGAGGAGCGAAAGUGUGGGGAGCGAACAGG